AAAACAAUAUUGAACGCUGGCGGCAGGCCUAACACAUGCAAGUCGAGCGGUAGAGAGAAGCUUGCUUCUCUUGAGAGCGGCGGACGGGUGAGUAAUGCCUAGGAAUCUGCCUGGUAGUGGGGGAUAACGUUCGGAAACGGACGCUAAUACCGCAUACGUCCUACGGGAGAAAGCAGGGGACCUUCGGGCCUUGCGCUAUCAGAUGAGCCUAGGUCGGAUUAGCUAGUUGGUGAGGUAAUGGCUCACCAAGGCGACGAUCCGUAACUGGUCUGAGAGGAUGAUCAGUCACACUGGAACUGAGACACGGUCCAG
rnacentral:rRNA from 1 species